rnacentral:rRNA from 1 species
CCUACGGGAGGCAGCAGUGGGGAAUAUUGGACAAUGGGCGAAAGCCUGAUCCAGCCAUGCCGCGUGUGUGAAGAAGGCCUUCGGGUUGUAAAGCACUUUCAGUGGGGAAGAAAGCCUUGGGGCUAAUACCCUCGAGGAAGGACAUCACCCACAGAAGAAGCACCGGCUAACUCCGUGCCAGCAGCCGCGGUAAUACGGAGGGUGCGAGCGUUAAUCGGAAUUACUGGGCGUAAAGCGCGCGUAGGCGGUCUGAUAAGCCGGUUGUGAAAGCCCCGGGCUCAACCUGGGAACGGCAUCCGGAACUGUCAGGCUAGAGUGCAGGAGAGGAAGGUAGAAUUCCCGGUGUAGCGGUGAAAUGCGUAGAGAUCGGGAGGAAUACCAGUGGCGAAGGCGGUCUUCUGGACUGACACUGACGCUGAGGUGCGAAAGCGUGGGUAGCAAACAGGAUUAGAUACCCUAGUAGUC